UACGUAGGGUGCAAGCGUCAAUCGGAAUUACUGGGCGUAAAGCGUGCGCAGGCGGCUUUGCAAGACAGAUGUGAAAUCCCCGGGCUCAACCUGGGAACUGCAUUUGUGACUGCAUGGCUAGAGUACGGUAGAGGGGGAUGGAAUUCCGCGUGUAGCAGUGAAAUGCGUAGAUAUGCGGAGGAACACCGAUGGCGAAGGCAAUCCCCUGGACCUGUACUGACGCUCAUGCACGAAAGCGUGGGGAGCAAACAGG
rnacentral:rRNA from 1 species